GAUGAACGCUGGCGGCGUGCCUAAUACAUGCAAGUCGAGCGAACGGACGAGAAGCUUGCGUCUCUGAUGUUAGCGGCGGACGGGUGAGUAACACGUGGAUAACGUACCUAUAAGACUGGGAUAACUUCGGGAAACCGGAGCUAAUACCGGAUAAUAUUUUGAACCGCAGGGGUGAAAAGUGAAAGACGGUCUUGCUGUCACUUAUAGAUGGAUCCGCGCUGCAUUAGCUAGUUGGUGAGGUAACGGCCUACUAAGGGAACGAUGCAUAACCGAGCUGACAGGGUGGUCGGCCACCCUGGAACUUAGACACGGUCCAGACUCCUACGGUAGGCAGCAGUAGGGAAUCUUCCGCAAUGGGCGGAAGUCUGACGGAGUGACGCCGCGCGAGUGAUGAAGGUCUUCGGAUCGUAAUACUCUGUUACUAGUGAAGAACAUAUGUGUAAGUAACUGUGCCCAUCUUGACGGUACCUAAUCAGAAAGCCACGGCUAACUACGUG
rnacentral:rRNA from 1 species